GCUGUCCUUUUCUUUCAGUUUGAGAUUCUGGUGAAACCACAGAUGUUUUUGGUCCUCAAGCUGAAGAGGGGGAGAUCUGAAGGAUUUAUCUAAAAGGAUGUGGAAGCAGCAGAAGGUAGAAAAGAUCCAGGAUUCUCCCUUAUGAGGCAUUAGUUUCCGGACUACUUUUGCAUUCUGAUUCCAGAAAGAUGUGAUCACUGGAAAUUGCUUGUAUACACUAAUGUUUGCUGACUGACAGCACAAACGAACACAACCAUCUGCAAGAGAAUGCCAAGCUUCAAUGGACUAUCUACCCACCAACUAUCGAGGGUCCCUUCUCCACACACAUUCAUCUAUAUUGCCUUAUUUUAUGUUGGCAAGUGAUAAGAAGAUUCAACUCGCUACCCGUUCAUUUUUGGUGUACAUUAACAGUAGCUACUAAUAUAAAAUAAAAUAAGCACUGGAAAAAUUAAAAACUAUUUGGAUUCAGAGGCAAAAGGAUAAAAUUGGCAAAUUUUAUCCUCAACAAACAAGAUUUACACUGAGAAUCUUUGACCUAUGCUUGGGGUUCAGUCUGCUUACAGUGCUUCUUCAAGCUCCUUGUCACCAGAAUAGGGCCGGAGAUGUUAUUAUUUAAUAUUGAAUAUUUCCUCCCCAGAUAGGUGAGGAGACUAGUAUUGACUUGAGGUGAAAAGUCUUGGCAAUUCAAAAAGCAAAAAUUUUCUGUUCAUACUGUAUUGAAAAACUUUUAAAGUUUUACUGUCUUAAACAUUCUUAAAUAAUUUAAACUAUCAAAUGCUACUGUCAGAACUAAGAAGAUCAAUGUGACUCUAAAAUACCAAGGUUCUAUUUUGCAGGAAAUUUCCCAAUACACAAGCAGAAAUGAGCUUCUUUCUAUUUUUUAAUUUCUUUGAUGAGUUGGAUCUCAGGAGCCCAGUGGUGGCCAUCCUCCUCCUCACCAUACACCAAGUUAUCACUGUUGUCACUGGUCUGUUUAUAGACUCCUUCCUUUUGUUUACAUUAAUUUAUUGAAAGUUUCUUUAAUUCAUUCAUUGAAUUCAUGUUGCCUUGACUUCACCUGUCCUAGAACUAGAACUAGCUCCUUAGUGUGCAUUCCCCAUAUUUUACUUCUUCACUCUCUCAGUGAUAGACUAGCAACUCCAUUCCACCAUGAACAAUGCCAAGAUGAAUGUUACUAUAUAUGUUCCCUUUUGGACCUGUGUCCAAAUGUGAGCCUAAGCCAAGAAAAUGAAUUCUGAGUCACAGAAUAUGAAUAUACUCCAUUUGAACUGGAUGCCAGCUUGCUCCCCAGAAUGGCUGUCCCCAUGUGUGUUAACCAAAGGGUUCCUUUACCCACAUCCUUGCCCACUCUUAACAUCAUCCAAUUUUUGACAAUCUAAUAUGUAAAAUGAUAGUUUAUGUUGUUUGUGUUUCUCUGAUCAUUAAUGCAUUAGUUCUUUACAGGUUUUUGCUUCUUGUAAUUAGUUUGGUGUACUUUUUUUCUGUUAUCCU
rnacentral:lncRNA from 1 species